rnacentral:rRNA from 1 species
UACGUAGGCAGCAAGCGUUGUUCGGAGUUACUGGGCGUAAAGGGUGCGUAGGUGGCUCUAUAAGUAUGGUGUGAAAUCUCCCGGCUUAACUGGGAGGGUGCGCCGUAGACUGUGGGGCUAGAGUGUGGGUGAGGAAAGUGGAAUUCCUGGUGUAGCGGUGAAAUGCGUAGAUAUCAGGAGGAACACCGGUGGUGUAAACGGCUUUCUGGACCAUAACUGACACUGAGGCACGAAAGCGUGGGUAGCAAACAGG